rnacentral:rRNA from 1 species
AACGAACGCUGGCGGCAGGCUUAACACAUGCAAGUCGAGCGCCCCGUAAGGGGAGCGGCAGACGGGUGAGUAACGCGUGGGAAUCUACCCAUCUCUACGGAAUAACGCAUGGAAACGUGUGCUAAUACCGUAUACGUCCUUCGGGAGAAAGAUUUAUCGGAGAUGGAUGAGCCCGCGUUGGAUUAACUAGUUGGUGGGGUAAAGGCCUACCAAGGCGACGAUCCAUAGCUGGUCUGAGAGGAUGAUCAGCCACACUGGGACUGAGACACGGCCCAGACUCCUACGGGAGGCAGCAGUGGGGAAUAUUGGACAAUGGGCGCAAGCCUGGUCCAGCCAUGCCGCGUGAGUGAUGAAGGCCCUAGGGUUGUAAAGCUCUUUCACCGGUGAAGAUAAUGACGGUAACCGGAGAAGAAGCCCCGGCUAACUUCGUGCCAGCAGCCGCCGUAAGAC